rnacentral:rRNA from 1 species
GACGAACGCUGGCGGCGUGCUUAACACAUGCAAGUCGAACGGAAAGGCCCUGCUUUUGUGGGGUGCUCGAGUGGCGAACGGGUGAGUAACACGUGAGUAACCUGCCCUUGACUUUGGGAUAACUUCAGGAAACUGGGGCUAAUACCGGAUAGGAGCUCCUGCUGCAUGGUGGGGGUUGGAAAGUUUCGGCGGUUGGGGAUGGACUCGCGGCUUAUCAGCUUGUUGGUGGGGUAGUGGCUUACCAAGGCUUUGACGGGUAGCCGGCCUGAGAGGGUGACCGGCCACAUUGGGACUGAGAUACGGCCCAGACUCCUACGGGAGGCAGCAGUGGGGAAUAUUGCACAAUGGGCGGAAGCCUGAUGCAGCAACGCCGCGUGCGGGAUGAAGGCCUUCGGGUUGUAAACCGCUUUCGCCUGUGACGAAGCGUGAGUGACGGUAAUGGGUAAAGGAGCACCGGCUAACUACGUG